GACGAACGCUGGCGGCGUGCUUAACACAUGCAAGUCGAACGGUGAAGCGCCUUCCUUUUUGGUGGGUGUGGAUGAGUGGCGAAGGGGUGAGUAAGACGUGAGUAACCUGCCCCCUUCUUCUGGAUAACCGCAUGAAAGAGAGGCCAAUACGGGAUAUUCUGGGUCUGUGGCAUGAUGGGUCUGGGAAAGAUAUUGUUGCGGUGGGGGAUGGGCUCGCGGCCUAUCAGCUUGGUGGUGGGGUGGUGGCCUACCACGGCGGGGACGGGUGGCCGGCCUGGGAGGGUGGGCGGCCCCGCUGGGGCUGAGACACCGACCCGCCUCCGACGGGAGGCAGCGGGGAGGAUUAGUGCACGGGGGGCGGAAUCCUGCUGCAGCGCCGCCGCGUGGGGGAUGGAGGCCUGCGGGUUGUGAACCUCUGUCGCGAGUGAAGCAGGCCUGCCUCGUUUGUGGGUGGGUUGACGGUAGCUGGAUAAGAAGCGCCGGCUAACUACGUG
rnacentral:rRNA from 1 species